AUGGACCCGCGGCGCAUUAGCUAGUUGGUGAGGUAAUGGCUCACCAAGGCAACGAUGCGUAGCCGACCUGAGAGGGUGAUCGGCCACACUGGGACUGAGACACGGCCCAGACUCCUACGGGAGGCAGCAGUAGGGAAUCUUCCGCAAUGGACGAAAGUCUGACGGAGCAACGCCGCGUGAGUGAUGAAGGUUUUCGGAUCGUAAAGCUCUGUUGUUAGGGAAGAACAAGUACCGUUCGAAUAGGGCGGCACCUUGACGGUACCUAACCAGAAAGCCACGGCUAACUACGUGCCAGCAGCCGCGGUAAUACGUAGGUGGCAAGCGUUGUCCGGAAUUAUUGGGCGUAAAGGGCUCGCAGGCGGUUCCUUAAGUCUGAUGUGAAAGCCCCCGGCUCAACCGGGGAGGGUCAUUGGAAACUGGGGAACUUGAGUGCAGAAGAGGAGAGUGGAAUUCCACGUGUAGCGGUGAAAUGCGUAGAGAUGUGGAGGAACACCAGUGGCGAACGCGACUCUCUGGUCUGUAACUGACGCUGAGGAGCGAAAACGGGGGGAACGAACACGAUUACAUACCCUGGUACUCCACGCCGUAAACGAUUAGUGCUAACUGUUAGGGGGUCUCCUCCCCUAUUGCUGCACCUAGCCCAUAAAUCACUCCGCCUCCGCACUAGGGUCGCCGGACUCUUACUCCUCGGAGUUAACGGAGGGCCGCACAAC
rnacentral:rRNA from 1 species